AAAAGAUGAACCCAUUGACUCUGAAGCUGUUUGAUGUAGACAGGGUGGAACACAUGUUCCUAGAUAACCCGACUGUCCACGGUUGUCCUUGCCACAUAGUUCACAACAAUGCCAGAGCUGCUGGGACUCAUUAUAUUGAGUUGUCAGACUUUGAUCUGGAGGAUAUGGUUGUAGAUAUUUGAUACUUCAAAGCAAGCACAAAGAAAAAAUGUAGACUGGAUGAAUUCUGUGUGUUUUGUGAUACUGAGUACAUGGCUGUCAUAGACCAUGUUUAGACACGGUGGCUGAGUCUGGAGACGGCAGUAAUCCGCAUUCUA